GCUUAUUAACUCAGAAAAAGUGCCUGAUUAAUAAGAGAUUCUAAAUGCUUCAAAGAAGCCAUUUAGAAUGGAGUUUAGGAAUUCCACUCUUGCAAUUGAGGAGGACCUUAUGUGAGAGUCUUUCUCAAAUAACUAUUACAAAAUAUAAAAUAGCAAUUAUCUGAAGUCCUUGGAGAGUGACUAAAAGCAGAAACUAGAAAGACGUGCAUAUUUGGAAACAGGAAAUGGCAUGAGGGGAGUUUGCUGUUUUUAACAGCUUCUUCCCUAAGGGGAGGCCCCAGUCAGGGACAUACUGUUCAACUAGAACAAGAUAGGAAUAAACCUAUGAUGACUGAGGAAGAAGACAUAGAGUUUUGGACUAUAACAGCAACUGAUGUUCCAUCUGAAGGACCUGAGGUCUCCUCCAUCCUACCAUGGUGACAACCUGCCUUGUCCUGAAGCCAAGAGUAUCUCUCAGAGCCCAAUGGAUGAAGCUUACCUGGGAGCUGGGACUAGGGGAGGUCAACAGAGGAUGGAAAGACUGAGGGUGUGUGGGGAAGUGGAAAUGGGCAGGGCUUCUUUGUGGGCUAAAUAGUAACUUGAAAAGAAUAGCAAGAAUAAAGUUUUGCACAAGUAUACAAACUCUGUGUAUCUGUGAUUAUCAUUGUAAUAAGAGAGCUUUCAGGUAAUGAACUGAACUAGUCCACUGUUGUAAACACUGCAUUACGGGCGAAGUUGGCCGUUCAUAUUUCUCAAGGAAGCUUGGCCUUUAUUCUGAUGGAAGUUGUGUUUCCUUCCUGGGAAAAUCUAACUGGGAAAAAAAUGUCUGCUGAACUCCUUUGCAGACUUGUAGAUGGUUUCUGAGUCACAUUUUGAGUAGUACCAAACUAGGAAACCACUAAAGUGGUUGAAAUUAAGCACAAAGAGUUGGAGUUCUGACAUCAGGC
rnacentral:lncRNA from 1 species